GUACACAAACUUUAAAGCAGCAACAAUGUACAAUGCAAAACACCAAAGAGGACUCGUGAAAAAUUAGGGAAAAUGUUAAUUAAUUAGAAACCUUCAAACAAGUGCGCCGGAGCAGCAACACAUACAAAUGGAGUAUAAAUCCAUCCAUCCAUCCAUUUUCUGUACUGCUUAUCCUCACUAGGGUCGUGGGAGUGCUGGACCCUAUCCCAGCUGACUCUGGGCGAGAGGCGGGGUACACCCUGAACUGGUUGUCAGCCAAUUGCAAGACACAUAUAGAUAAACAACCAUUCGCACUCACAAUCACACCUAGGGGGAAUUUAGAGUCUUCAAUUAACCUGCCAUGCAUGCUUUUGGAAUGUGGGAGGAAACAGGAGUACCCGGAGAAAACCCACUCAGGCAUGGGGAGAACAUGCAAACUCCACACAGGGGAGGCCGGACUGGAACCCAGGUCCUCAGAACUGCGGGUCAGAUGUGCUAGCCAGUCGGCCACUGUGCCACCCACGGAGUGUACAACAAAAGACUGAAGGAGCCACAUACGUAAACCCCUGUAAGGAAGUACAGGGGACAUCAGAGGGAAGCAGAGUGAAGAUUCCGAUGAGUCCAAUGAGCAGAUGUUACCAGGAAAGCUUGAUUGGCACUCUCACUAAGCGUUGAGUCAUCGGGGCUGUCGACUGGCGUCUGACUGGUGAAUUUAGAGUCAAACUGACUCACGUCUUCAGCUGAUUGCUGCAAAGCCGGAGAGAGGUGUUGUAUGAAGACUAACGCACCAAGUUAAUACUUUGACGCUGGUUGAGCUGUGCUCCAAUAAGUGGAGGCUCACCUGCACCUCUGUGGCAUCCCCAGUCCCUGCACCCAACCGCGAUGAGGCAUUUCUCUUCAGCAACUGCCCACACAUUUUAAGUCAUUAGAAAAGCAUGUCUAAACACAGUAACUUCACAGUCACAUUGAGGUAAAAAACGCUACCCGUUUCAGGAGGUCUCUGGCUUCCUGUGUGAGGUAGGGUGGGAGGCUGAGCUUGCACUUCAAGAUUUUAUCGAUGGUCUUUUUGCGGUUUUCGCCAGUGAAUGGCGGCUAUGGACACAAGAUCAAAAAGAAUUGCUCAAUCAACGCAGGAUUCAUACUACAUUAGGAUUUGUAAUGGUAGCCACAAAAGAAGCAACUUUGUGAGUCACACUGACCGCCCCAGUGAGCAUGUCGUACAUCAGAGCACCCAGACUCCACCAAUCUACGGCUCUGUUAUGUCCGCUUCGCAUUAAA